UACGGGGGGAGCAAGCGUUGUUCGGAUUACUGGGCGUAAAGGGCGCGUAGGCGGCGCAACAAGUCACUUGUGAAAUCUCCGGGCUUAACCCGGAGCGGCCAAGUGAUACUGUCGUGCUAGAGUGCAGAAGGGGCAAUCGGAAUUCUUGGUGUAGCGGUGAAAUGCGUAGAUAUCAAGAGGAACACCUGAGGUGAAGACGGGUUGCUGGGCUGACACGUGACGCUGAGGCGCGAAAGCCAGGGGAGCAAACGGG
rnacentral:rRNA from 1 species